GCCCGCCUAGCUCAAUCGGAUAGAGCGUCAGACUCUUACGAGUAUCUCGGGUGAUUACGAUCAUGUGUUAGGUGAUCUGAAGGCUGCGAGUUCGACCCUCGCGGUGGGCU